rnacentral:rRNA from 1 species
CCUACGGGAGGCAGCAGUGAGGAAUAUUGGUCAAUGGACGGAAGUCUGAACCAGCCAUGCCGCGUGCAGGAAGACGGCUCUAUGAGUUGUAAACUGCUUUUGUACAAGGGUAAACCUGAAUACGUGUAUUCAGCUGAAAGUACUGUACGAAUAAGGAUCGGCUAACUCCGUGCCAGCAGCCGCGGUAAUACGGAGGAUCCAAGCGUUAUCCGGAUUUAUUGGGUUUAAAGGGUGCGUAGGCGGAUUGAUAAGUUAGUGGUGAAAUGUCGGAGCUUAACUCGGGAACUGCCUCUAAUACUGUUGGUCUAGAGAAUAGUUGCGGUAGGCGGAAUGUAUGGUGUAGCGGUGAAAUGCUUAGAGAUCAUACAGAACACCGAUUGCGAAGGCAGCUUACCAAUCUAUAUCUGACGUUGAGGCACGAAAGCGUGGGGAGCAAACAGGAUUAGAUACCCGAGUAGUC